CAUAUCUGACCUGACCUCUAAGGUCAAGCCUCUGUGUUCUUCUUCAGCUCAUCAUUUCUCAGUAACCAGGUGAGCAUCUGCUCCAUGCACUGAUUGAUGGGCGGGGCCAACCUUACUGCGGCUGCGCGGCGACUAUAUAAACCUGUGCGUUUCUUUGGCCCAUUCGUGGCUGAUGUCUUUCUUUGACGUGUCGUUCUAUGGUGCUGCAGUCGAUGGUGAUUUGACCGAGUCUUCCCACCUCUCUAAAUGCACUUGGCUGCUGAUGGUGCUGACGGUCCGGAGUUGCACGUGCUGCAGGUUCGCUCUCUCCAGGGUUGUCUCACCUGGAUUCCUGGAGGACCUGCAGGUCCCACUGGGCCUUGUUUUCCCGUUUCACCCUGAGAAACAAAUUAAAUAAUCAGUGAAACUGCAACUCUGUAUCUUUGAAAUCUGGUGGAAGAGUGACACCAACAGAGGUCAGUUUGUGGCUGAUUGAUGUGAAAUUACCGUUGAUCCUUUAUCUCCUUGUUUCCCGUCUUUUCCAUGUUUCCCAGGCUCACCCUGUUAAAAGGAAUGGGGUUUUGUUUGAUAAAAUGAUCAAUUAAUAAAAAAAUGUCAACAC